GUGAUCCUCCUGCGUCAGCCUGCAGAGUGCUGGAAUUACAGGCAUGUGCCACCACACUCAAUUUAAAUAUCAGUGUUUAAAAAACAAACUAAAAGUAAAAAAUUUACAGUAUAUCUGUCAUUGCAAAAGUUUCAUUCGAUAGAACUUUUCUCAGUAGGUUUUCACUCUUGCUGAUAAUUUCCUGCUUGCUUCCUUGUGAACUAUUCCGUACUUUAUUGUUACUCAGAGCUAAUCAGACAUCCAAUCAAAGUGUCUGCAGGUGAGAUUUUAUUUUAGGAAAAUCUGAUUUUCAUGUCUUAAUUCAGUCCCUCAGGGACUGUUAAGCCUGCCUACCUAGGUGAGGCUCCUUGGUGAGCUUGUUUACUUAAGUGUGGGCUAAUCAGUUACUUCCCUUCAGUAAUUCUGCAUUAAGUAAAUUGUUGCCUCCUAGUAAUAGUUGAAACUAUUCACAUACACUUAAAAUCUUCUUUAUUUUUCUAGGUUACUCAGAAAGGGCUUUUAAAACUAAAUGAAAACAUGUCUGUGCUUCCAAAGAGAUUUUGGAACCGAUCUUCACAAAAUUUCUGGGAGUGGAAGCUGGAGGAAUGAUGAUCAAGAGUAGCACCUAAGUGGAGCAUCAGUUCUGCCCUCAUCUAUAGGUUCGCACCUUGACCCUGCCCCACUCUGCAGAUGUUAUUCUGUUUACUUAAUUUAGGUUCUUUGUUUUCUUGUUAUGUCUAUUCCAC
rnacentral:lncRNA from 1 species